AGUGAACGCUGGCGGUAGGCCUAACACAUGCAAGUCGAACGGCAGCACAGUAAGAGCUUGCUCUUACGGGUGGCGAGUGGCGGACGGGUGAGGAAUACAUCGGAAUCUACUUUUUCGUGGGGGAUAACGUAGGGAAACUUACGCUAAUACCGCAUACGACCUACGGGUGAAAGCAGGGGAUCUUCGGACCUUGCGCGAUUGAAUGAGCCGAUGUCGGAUUAGCUGGUUGGCGGGGUAAAGGCCCACCAAGGCGACGAUCCGUAGCUGGUCUGAGAGGAUGAUCAGCCACACUGGAACUGAGACACGGUCCAGACUCCUACGGGAGGCAGCAGUGGGGAAUAUUGGUCAAUGGGCGCAAGCCUGAUCCAGCCAUACCGCGUGGGUGAAGAAGGCCUUCGGGUUGUAAAGCCCUUUUGUUGGGAAAGAAAAGCAGCAGGUUAAUACCCCGCUGUUCUGACGGUACCCAAAGAAUAAGCACCGGCUAACUUCGUG
rnacentral:rRNA from 1 species